UUGGGUCUGUGGAGCUUGAAGCUGCUAAAGGAAGGAUGGAGUGGGGUGUGGGGGUGAGCUCUCAGGCAGCCCAUGGACUAUUUACUUCUGGGGCUUUCCCUCAGCCCUGUACAGAGGAGCCUGCAGAUCUGUGUUCAUGCCCCAGGGCAGUGUACCACAGUAAGACUGGCAAAAGGUGAAAGGAGCAGUGACCUGAUGGGAGUUAUCUAGCUUAUCUGUCACGGAACUGGGGUGUUAUGAUGACUCAUGCGGGACAAACAUUAAGGAAGGAAGGAGGGAAGGAAGGCUGGCAUGAAAACAGAGAAAUGGAGUCAGUGCCUGAGGGCAGAAACCGGUGUGGUCGGCAGUCACGCAGCCUCGGGCAGAGCGAGGAAGAAUGUUUUCAGCAUCCUCAGAGGUCUUCGAUGCUGUCAGUUUUCUGCGUGUCUUUGAGCUCCAA